rnacentral:rRNA from 1 species
GAUUAACGCUAGCGGCAGGCCUAAUACAUGCAAGUCGAACGGUAACAGGUGUAGCAAUACAUGCUGACGAGUGGCGCACGGGUGCGUAACACGUAUGCAACCUACCUAUAACUGGGGAAUAGCCCUCCGAAAGGAGGAUUAACACCGCAUAACAUCACGGAACGGCAUCAUUCUGUGAUCAAACCUCCGGGGGUUAUAGAUGGGCAUGCGUAACAUUAGCUAGUUGGUGAAGUAACGGCCCACCAAGGCUACGAUGUUUAGGGGGUCUGAGAGGAUGAUCCCCCACACUGGUACUGAGACACGGACCAGACUCCUACGGGAGGCAGCAGUAAGGAAUAUUGGACAAUGGGGGCAACCCUGAUCCAGCCAUGCCGCGUGAAGGAUGACGGCCCUCUGGGUUGUAAACUUCUUUUGUACGGGAAUAAACCCCUCUACGUGUAGAGGGUUGAAUGUACCGUAAGAAUAAGGAUCGGCUAACUUCGUGCCAGCCGCCGCGGUAAAAC